rnacentral:rRNA from 1 species
CCUACGGGAGGCAGCAGUGGGGAAUAUUGGACAAUGGGGGGAACCCUGAUCCAGCCAUGCCGCGUGUGUGAAGAAGGCCCUCGGGUUGUAAAGCACUUUCAGUGAGGAAGAACGCCUGGUGGUUAAUACCCAUCAGGAAAGACAUCACUCACAGAAGAAGCACCGGCUAACUCCGUGCCAGCAGCCGCGGUAAUACGGAGGGUGCGAGCGUUAAUCGGAAUUACUGGGCGUAAAGCGCGCGUAGGUGGCUUGAUAAGCCGGUUGUGAAAGCCCCGGGCUCAACCUGGGAACGGCAUCCGGAACUGUCAAGCUAGAGUGCAGCAGAGGAAGGUAGAAUUCCCGGUGUAGCGGUGAAAUGCGUAGAGAUCGGGAGGAAUACCAGUGGCGAAGGCGGCCUUCUGGACUGACACUGACACUGAGGUGCGAAAGCGUGGGUAGCAAACAGGAUUAGAUACCCUAGUAGUC